AUGGCACGCAUCGACUAUGCGCCGGGAGGCCAGAACCCGCCGCAUACCCACCCGCGCGCCACCGAGAUCAUCUUCGUUACCCAAGGAGUCCUCGAGGUGGGCUUCAUCACCACCGCCAACAAGCUCUUCACUAAGACCGUAACCGUCGGAGACGUGUUCGUCUUCCCGCGUGGGCUCGUGCACUUCCAGCAGAAUAGGGGACGUGGCCCCGCCUCCGUCAUCGCCGGCUUCAACAGCCAGCUCCAGGGCACACAAGUCAUCGCCACCACGCUCUUCGCUGCCGCGCCGCCAGUGCCUAGCGAUGUGCUGGCCAAGGCCUUCCGGAUCGACAACGGGCAGGUGGACGCUAUCAAGGCCAAGUUCAUGUAG
rnacentral:rRNA from 1 species